rnacentral:piRNA from 1 species
UCUCUCAAGAGGGCAACUCUGUAGUGCAA